UACGUAGGUGGCGAGCGUUGUCCGGAUUUGACUGGGCGUAAAGCGCACGUAGGCGGGUUGUUAAGUCAGGGGUGAAAUCCUGGAGCUCAACUCCAGAACUGCCUUUGAUACUGGCAACCUAGAGGCUGGAAGAGGUUAGUGGAAUUCCCAGUUGUAGAGGUGAAAUUCGUAGAUAUUGGGAAGAACACCAGUGGCGAAGGCGGCUAACUGGUCCAGACUCUGACGCUGAGGUGGCGAAAGCGUGGGGAGCAAACAGG
rnacentral:rRNA from 1 species